AGAGUUUGAUCCUGGCUCAGGAUGAACGCUAGCUACAGGCUUAACACAUGCAAGUCGAGGGGCAGCAUUUCAGUUUGCUUGCAAACUGGAGAUGGCGACCGGCGCACGGGUGAGUAACACGUAUCCAACCUGCCGAUAACUCGGGGAUAGCCUUUCGAAAGAAAGAUUAAUACCCGAUGGUAUAAUCAGACCGCAUGGUUUGAUUAUUAAAGAAUUUCGGUUAUCGAUGGGGAUGCGUUCCAUUAGGCAGUUGGUGAGGUAACGGCUCACCAAACCUUCGAUGGAUAGGGGUUCUGAGAGGGAAGGUCCCCCACAUUGGAACUGAGACACGGUCCAAACUCCUACGGGAGGCAGCAGUGAGGAAUAUUGGUCAAUGGGCGCAGGCCUGAACCAGCCAAGUAGCGUGAAGGAUGACUGCCCUAUGGGUUGUAAACUUCUUUUAUAUGGGAAUAAAGUUUUCCACGUGUGGAAUUUUGUAUGUACCAUAUGAAUAAGGAUCGGCUAACUCCGUGCCAGCAGCCGCGGUAAUACGGAGGAUCCGAGCGUUAUCCGGAUUUAUUGGGUUUUAAAGGGAGCGUAGGUGGACAGUUAAGUCAGUUGUGAAAGUUUGCGGCUCAACCGUAAAAUUGCAGUUGAUACUGGCUGUCUUGAGUACAGUAGAGGUGGGCGGAAUUCGUGGUGUAGCGGUGAAAUGCUUAGAUAUCACGAAGAACUCCGAUUGCGAAGGCAGCUCACUGGACUGCAACUGACACUGAUGCUCGAAAGUGUGGGUAUCAAACAGGAUUAGAUACCCUGGUAGUCCACACAGUAAACGAUGAAUACUCGCUGUUUGCGAUAUACAGUAAGCGGCCAAGCGAAAGCAUUAAGUAUUCCACCUGGGGAGUACGCCGGCAACGGUGAAACUCAAAGGAAUUGACGGGGGCCCGCACAAGCGGAGGAACAUGUGGUUUAAUUCGAUGAUACGCGAGGAACCUUACCCGGGCUUAAAUUGCAUUUGAAUAAUCUGGAAACAGGUUAGCCGCAAGGCAAAUGUGAAGGUGCUGCAUGGUUGUCGUCAGCUCGUGCCGUGAGGUGUCGGCUUAAGUGCCAUAACGAGCGCAACCCUUAUCUUUAGUUACUAACAGGUCAUGCUGAGGACUCUAGAGAGACUGCCGUCGUAAGAUGUGAGGAAGGUGGGGAUGACGUCAAAUCAGCACGGCCCUUACGUCCGGGCUACACACGUGUUACUUUUCCUGUUCGGAGUCUGGUGGGGGAAAAGAGGUAGAGAUGGAUCGCUUUGUCACAGACCUGAUGGGUAAAAUGACGAUCCGUGAGAAACUGGGACAGUUGAACCUUCCUUCCGGUGGCGACUUGGUGACAGGCUCGGUGAUGAAUUGUGAGCUUAGUGAUAUGAUUCGCAAAGAAGAGAUCGGUGGCUU
rnacentral:rRNA from 1 species